rnacentral:misc_RNA from 1 species
UAUAAUUCUCAUUUUUUGCUUAGUUGUUUAGAAUGUCUAUAAAAAUUUGAAAGAAAAUUUUGUAUAAUCAUAAUUAAUGAUUUAUGAUGAAUAUUUUUAUAAAAUUUUUAAGGAAAAAAAUGUAUUGAAUUAAAGUUUGAGAAUUUUUGUGAUGCGAAUUGAAGUUGAAGGACAACUGUGAUACAUUUAUCUAAGUUAAGGGAGAAUGAGUGAAAUUUAGCUGAA